AGCUCCAAUAGCGUAUAUUAAUGUUGCUGCAGUUAAAAAGCUCGUAGUUGGAUCUCGGGUCCAGGCUUGCGGUUCCGCCCGUGCGGAUACUGCUUGUCCUGACCUACCAGCCGGCCGACCCUUGGUGCCCUUAACUGGGUGCCCGCUGGCGGCCACUGCGUUUACCUUGAUGAAAGCAGAGUGUUCAAAGCAGGUCAUGACGCUCGAAUAUGUGUGCAUGGAAUAAUGGAAAAUGAUCGAGUAGCCAAUUCUCGUUGGCCUUUGGUUGCGAGGUAAUGAUUGAGAGGGACUGCCGGGGGCAUUAGUAUGGCGGCGCUAGAGGUGAAAUUCUUGGACCGUCGCCAGACUAACAAGAGCGAAAGCAUUUGCCAAGAAUGUCUUCAUUAAUCAAGAACGAAAG
rnacentral:rRNA from 1 species